AUGAACACACACUUUCUGAUGUUCUGUGACCUACCAGCUGAAACCCCCCUUUUCUCCACCCAACUUUACACCACUCUCUUAGCAUUGGUGGCUGUUAGUACACUAGAGCAAACAUAAGUUUCCUUUUGUUUGGGUAUUUUUUUCUUCUUCUUCAGUUGUCUCUGCCAUCUUUCACCUGACCAUUAGUGCUGUCCUGACUAGCUCACUGUGAGGAGAAAAAAAUUAUCAAACCGUCAACCAGAAGUAAACACAUCACUUUGGACAACUCAAAGACACAGUCUACCUGCUGUUUAACCCAGUCUUUGGUCGGAGGUGAAGAAGAGAUGACAUCCUCCACACCAUCCCUCUGCUGCUCUCAACAACCAUCACCCGCUGUGCUGGACAGACUGCAGCACCCACCAGGACCCUUCUCUCAUGGACUACACAAACAUGUGUUUUACCUGAUCGUGCUCCAGAUGUCCUGAAGCAGCUCUCAAUGACCACCAGACACCAGACUGAAGCACAACUGAUGCUGUAGUACCUGUCACUCACUGGGCUCGUUCCUGCUGAACCUCCAAGAGAUAAACCCCUCUUCAAGAAAGUCUGAGGUAAUGUCUUAGUGAACUUGUGUUCAUUUAUUUUUUCUGUUAUCUUAGCUGCUGUAUUAAUGCUUGUGACGCUAUUGUACAGCUCUGCUGAUAUCAUCGUCUUUAACAGCAGUGUUUUCUCCCAGGUCUUCUUCAAGCCAGUUAAGAAAGGAAGAACAGCUUAGACACUCAGGC
rnacentral:lncRNA from 1 species